rnacentral:rRNA from 1 species
GAGGAAUAUUGGUCAAUGGGCGCAAGCCUGAACCAGCCAAGUAGCGUGCAGGAAGACGGCCCUAUGGGUUGUAAACUGCUUUUAUACGAGAAUAAUUUGAUGCACGUGUGCGUUAUUGCAUGUAUCGUAUGAAUAAGGACCGGCUAAUUCCGUGCCAGCAGCCGCGGUAAUACGGAAGGUCCAGGCGUUAUCCGGAUUUAUUGGGUUUAAAGGGAGUGUAGGCGGUUUGUUAAGCGUGUUGUGAAAUUUAGGUGCUCAACAUUUAACUUGCAGCGCGAACUGUCAGACUUGAGUACACGCAACGUAUGCGGAAUUCAUGGUGUAGCGGUGAAAUGCUUAGAUAUCAUGAAGAACUCCGAUUGCGAAGGCAGCAUACGGGAGUGUAACUGACGCUUAAGCUCGAAGGUGCGGGUAUCGAACAGGAUUAGAUACCCUGGUAGUCCGCACAGUAAACGAUGGAUGCCCGCUGUUAGCGCCUGGCGUUAGCGGCUAAGCGAAAGCAUUAAGCAUCCCACCUGGGGAGUACGCCGGCAACGGUG